CAGCCGCCACGGUAAUACGUAGGGUGCAAGCGUUAAUCGGAAUUACUGGGCGUAAAGCGUGCGCAGGCGGUUCGUUAAGACAGAUGUGAAAUCCCCGGGCUCAACCUAGGAACUGCAUUUGUGACUGGCAAGCUAGAGUAUGGCAGAGGGGGGUGGAAUUCCGCGUGUAGCAGUGAAAUGCGUAGAUAUGUGGAGGAACACCGAUGGCGAAGGCAGCCCCCUGGGCCAAUACUGACGCUCAUGCACGAAAGCGUGGGGAGCAAACAGGAUUAGAUACCCCUGUAGUCCCUGUCUCUUAUAC
rnacentral:rRNA from 1 species